ensembl:lncRNA
UAGUGGUCUGUGUGUGAAAUGUCAGGUCGUAGUGGUGUAUGGUGAAAAUGUCAGGCUGUAGUGGUCAAGGGUGAAAAUGUCAGGCUGUAGUGGUCAAGGGUGAAAAUGUCAGGUUGUAGUGGUCUGUGGUGAAAAAUGUCAGGCUGUAGUGGUCAAGGGUGAAAAUGUCAGGUCGUAGUGGUGUAUGGUGAAAACGUCAGGUCGUAGUGGUCAGGGUGAAAAUGUCAGGCUGUAGUGGUCUGUGGUGAAAAUGUCAGGUCGUAGUGGUGUAUGGUGAAAAUGUCAGGUCGUAGUGGUCAAGGGUGAAAAUGUCAGGUCGUAGUGGUGUAUGGUGAAAAUGUCAGGUCGUAGUGGUCAAGGGUGAAAAUGUCAGGUCGUAGUGGUGUAUGGUGAAAAUGUCAGGUCGUAGUGGUCAAGGGUGAAAAUGUCAGGUCGUAGUGGUCAAGGGUGAAAAUGUCAGGUCGUAGUGGUCAAGGGUGAAAAUGUCAUGUCGUAGUGGUCAAGGGUGAAAAUGUCAGGUCGUAGUGGUGUAUGGUGAAAAUGUCAGGUCGUAGUGGUGUAUGGUGAAAAUGUCAGGCUGUAGUGGUCUGUGGUGAAAAUGUCAGGCUGUAGUGGUCUGUGGUGAAAAUGUCAGGCUGUAGUGGUGUAUGGUGAAAAUGUCAGGCUGUAGUGGUCUGUGGUGAAAAUGUCAGGUCGUAGUGGUGGGAGUGUUUGAACAGACACAAUUCUAGUGACAAACUGUCUGGAGAUUACAGCCCCACCCGUCAAGCGCGAAAACAACCGUGUUCUUGCAAAGUAAAGAAUGAGGGGAAAAAAAUAAAAUGGCCGAGUGUUGGCUCUGGUAGAGAACGAAACAAACAUCAUGUUCAGGCAUGGUCCUAUAGAGAAGUAGUCAUCUUAAUAAACACUGAAGUGUUCACUACAAUAAACAUGAGUCAUUCUCUCUCUCUUCCUCUUUCUUCCAGAUCUUCUGGUUUGUCCUUUAUUUCUCCUCGGGAAGUGAUCACGAGUGCUGGAAUUAACCCUCUUUCACUGUGCUGCUUGGAACGGACUGCCACAC